GGAGAGGGCUAGCGUUAUUCGGAAUUAUUGGGCGUAAAGGGCGCGUAGGCGGAUUAGUAAGUUAAAAGUGAAAUCCCAAGGCUCAACCUUGGAAUUGCUUUUAAAACUGCUAAUCUAGAGAUUGAAAGAGGAUAGAGGAAUUCCUAGUGUAGAGGUGAAAUUCGUAAAUAUUAGGAGGAACACCAGUGGCGAAGGCGUCUAUCUGGUUCAAAUCUGACGCUGAGGCGCGAAGGCGUGGGGAGCAAACAGGAUUAGAUACCCUGGUAGUCCACGCUGUAAACGAUGAAUGUUAAAUAUGGGGAGUUUACUUUCUGUAUUACAGCCAACGCGUUAAACAUUCCGCCUGGGGACUACGGUCGCAAGAUUAAAACUCAAAGGAAUUGACGGGGACCCGCACAAGCGGUGGAGCAUGUGGUUUAAUUCGAUGCAACGCGAAAAACCUUACCACUCCUUGACAUGGAAAUUAUACCUAUUCGAAGGGAUAGGGUCGGUUCGGCCGGGUUUCACACAGGUGU
rnacentral:rRNA from 1 species